GGGCGUGUGAGUGGUGUUUGGUUUGUUACGGGUGGAUGGCUCUUUGCUUGCGCAACAACUUCCACCUGGCAUACCUCUUCAGCUUUGUGUCAAUGCUAGUAUCGCAUUAACGCACUGUGGGUUUCUUGUGUUGCAUGCCUAWUUGAUGGUAUCGUUUGACGAACGGAUGUUUAUAUUCGUCUUGGGUCGCUCUUGCGAUGCGAGAUGAACCUUAAAGUAGCCUUUAUGAUCCACUCUUUCGAUUGCACACGCAUUGAUAUUGUGGCACAUUGAGUGUUACUUGGACUCAUCGAUAUGGAACCUUUUAUGGGCAUAGGAUCUUUUGUUAGCUCCUUGUUUGCUCUAGUUAAGCUUUUCAAAUACGAUUUCCUAUCACGUAUUAACGUGGUAGGCUAUAUCGAAUAUGAAUG
rnacentral:misc_RNA from 1 species